CGAAUGAGGAGAUUCAUCGUCAGCUCAUUUUGUAUAUAUGCAAGUUAUGAUAUGGGUUACUACUUUUAAGUAGUAUUGCUUGUACAUUCUUGUAUAUUUAAUUGCAAAGUGUUUGUCGGCGUGCACUUCUCCUCUAGUAGAACGUCACGACCCGUUGAGAUAUGAUAAUAAUUAGUCUACGGCCCAAGUGAUAGUUUUUAAUAAAUAGUUUAUUCGAUUUAUUGAAAAUCCUUGGUGUUUUCUGACUAAUACUUGGCGGUAUUCGUACGGUAUUGAGCCGCAUAUUUAUAUGCGUUCUGGCCAUCACAAGUGAGAUUAGUUUUUUUUUACUGAUAGUACGGACCCAGUGCCGUCAUCAGUGCUAAUCAACUGUUAGUUGCAUGGAAUUCUAGAACUGGCUUUACAAUAUAUAUACCGGUCAGUGAUGCUACUGCUUUGGGUACUUUCAGGACCCGUCUUGAAACACGGACCAAGGAGUCUAACAUGUACGCGAGUCAUUGGGAUUUUUAUAAAUUAAACCUAAAGGCGUAAUGAAAGUAAAGAUUGGCCUUGUGUCGAUUAAGGGAAGAUGGGCUAUAUUACGAUAUAGCUUCGCACUCCCGGGGCGUCUCAUUCUCAUUGCGAGAAGAGGCGCACCUAGAGCGUACACGUUGG
rnacentral:rRNA from 1 species